rnacentral:rRNA from 1 species
AUUGAACGCUGGCGGCAUGCCUUACACAUGCAAGUCGAACGGUAACGGGCCUUCGGGUGCCGACGAGUGGCGAACGGGUGAGUAAUGUAUCGGAACGUACCUUUCAGUGGGGGAUAACGUAGCGAAAGUUACGCUAAUACCGCAUAUUCUGUGAGCAGGAAAGCAGGGGAUCGCAAGACCUUGCGCUGAUUGAGCGGCCGAUAUCAGAUUAGCUAGUUGGUGAGGUAAAGGCUCACCAAGGCGACGAUCUGUAGCGGGUCUGAGAGGAUGAUCCGCCACACUGGAACUGAGACACGGUCCAGACUCCUACGGGAGGCAGCAGUGGGGAAUUUUGGACAAUGGGGGCAACCCUGAUCCAGCCAGGCCGCGUGAGUGAAGAAGGCCUUCGG